rnacentral:lncRNA from 1 species
AAAAAAAAAAAGAAAUACCAGGUGAAGCAUAUGCCCUGCAAGCUUAGGGGUGCUACAGUUGACCACUGCAGCAGUAAAGAUGACUGAAGAAUGGCAUGGGAUGGAUCCUUUCGAAUGCACUUGAGCAGCAGUCUCCAAACACAGGGCCACAGAGCCAGAGAAUGUAUUUGUCACUUCCAGCUGAAUCUACCAUGAAAGACUUCUGAAUCCAGGAAAAGAGACUGACUGGGUAACAUGUUAUUCAGGUACAAAAAGACUUGGACUGUAACUCAAAAAUGAUCAAAUAAUAGUGCAUGCAUCAAGUGCAAUGGGAAGC